CUUAGUAUUGUAUUUUUAAAGUGAUUAUGGACCCUCAAAUUGAAGAAAAGCUGAGGUCAUGGGGAUUGGCGCACUUGUGCGCUACAUUCGAAGACUGAAGGUGCAACUAGCAGUACUGCUUGUGAUGAUGAACCAUCACUAAAGAGGCCCUGCAUGGUCUGUUGUCAAAUAUCGAGAAACGAUAGUCAACCCCAAGACCAUGCACUGAACAGUUUGCCUCCGGCUGCGUUGAGUCUCAGAGAAAUGUGGACUCCAUCCUAAAGCUCUAUUGCGCCAGAAGAUUAAGUGGGAUACUUUCUUGGCCCUGGAAGACACGGAUUUAAAAUCUUUGAUCCCAGACAUAAACGACUUUAUAAGUGUGAGGAGGACCCAACACAGGUUGCUGAGGCCUCAAGCAGAGGUACUGCAGGACAUUAUUGUCGUGCCGUCUGUAGAACCUUUGGAGAACGAGAACUCAGCUAGCAACAACAGAAAGAGACGAGGCAGCAGCAGUCCACCAGGAACAAGUCGGACUAGAAGAGUCGUUGGAGAGCCAAAU